rnacentral:rRNA from 1 species
AUGUCCGUAGUUUCCCUGUCCACCCAGUACAUGGACAACUCCCGGCCUCUAUGGGACUUCCACCUGCUGGACUUCCCGACCUCCGAGGCCACCUCCACGGCCGUGAUGCGCGUGCAUCACUCCUUGAGCGACGGCGUGUCGCUCCUCACGCUCCUCAUGUCGUGCGCUCGCAGCGCUGCCGACCCUGUGAAACCGCCGGCCAUGCCGCCGUUGCCCAAGCGGACAGGCGCCAUUUACGCGCGCCCACGGCCGCCGGCAUCCGCCGGCGCGCUGGCGUUUGCCCGGUGGGUCUGGUCCUUCGUCUUGCUCGCUUGGCACACCACGGUGGACGUUGCUGUCUUCUUCGCGACGAUACUGUUCCUCAAGGAUACACGGACGCCGUUCACGACUACAGGCCACCAUGGAGAGCUUCAUCGCAAGCGCAUCGUACACCGGAGCCUCAACCUUGAAGAUGUCAAAUCCGUCAAACAAACCAUGAACUGCGCAGUUAAUGAUGUGCUAGUCGGGGUCACUAGUGCUGCCCUAUCACGAUAUUACUACCGGAAAUCAGGUGACAAUGAAACUGGCAAGGAUAUCCGUGUGCGAUCAAUCCUUCUCGUCAAUUUAAGGCCAAGUACAAGUGUACACGCAUCUGUUAAUAUGAUAGAGUCUGGCAAAGGGAGUGAUGUAAAAUGGGGAAACCAAGUCGGCUUCAUUUUUCUUCCAUUGCAUAUAGCCAUGCACAGUGAUCCACUUGAUUAUAUUCGCAAGGCCAAGAACACUUGCGAUCGAAAGAAAAGUUCAUUAGAAGUGGCAUUCACACAUGUAGCGGCAGAGGUGUUCUUCAAACUGUUUGGACCCAAGGCAGGUGCUGCUAUCUUCGAUCGUAUGGUCUACCACACUACCACAUCAUUGUCGAACAUGAUUGGCCCAGUUGAACAAGUGGAGUUGUUUGGGCACCCGGUUGUUUUCGUUGCCUCGACUACCUUUGUACCACAAGAAGCCAUAGUCGUGAAUUAUCAAAGUUACGUUAACAGCGUCAGGCUAGCACUAGCGGUGGACGAGGCACAGUUCCCAGACUGCCAUGAGCUUUUGGAUGACUUUUCCGAAACCCUCAACAUUAUCAAGGGUGCAGCUGUGAGCCUUGGAAAGCAUAAUCAGAAGGAAUAG